rnacentral:rRNA from 1 species
AUUGAACGCUGUCAGCCGGCCUAACACAUGCAAGUCGAGCGAGCGGCGGACGGGUGAGUAAUUUCUGGGAAACUGCCUGAUGGAGGGGGAUAACUACUGGAAACGGUAGCUAAUACCGCAUACCCUCAGAUGUGCCCAGAUUGGAGUGGCUAGUAGGUGGGGUAAUGGCUCACCUAGGCGACGAUCCCUAGCUGGUCUGAGCGGAUGACCAGCCACAGUGGAACUGAGACACGGUCCAUACUCGUACGGGAGGCAGCAGUGGGGAAGAUUGCACAAUGGGCGCAAGCCUGAUGCAGCCAUGCCGCGGGUGUGAAUAAGGCCUUCGGGUUGUAAAGCACUUUCAGCGGGGAGGCGUUACCCGCAGAAGAAGCACCGGCUAACUCCGUGCCAGCAGCCGCGGUAAUAC